AUGCCCAGGUUUGAGAUCAAUUGCCUUCUGAAACUCCUGAACCGCACGGUCAUCAUCCCCGAUCGCAUGCAGGGCUGACCCAAGAUCACAGUGUGCAUCAGCAUAGUCUGGCUUCAAGAAGAUGGCCUCCUCUAGUGCCUUCUCGGCUGCACGGUACUCACCAACACCAAAGAGCGCGCUACCGAGGAGCUUCAGCGCCCGGGCAUGAGAAGGACACAGUAUGGCAGCCUCUCGGUACUCCUUGACGAAGGUGAGGUAGUCGCGGCUCGUCUCGUCCCAUGGCGCGGCGGUCGAAGCCGAAUCCGCUUGGCCGGAGAUCUCCCUUGACCACCCGGCCUCGGAGAAGGAGUCGAAAUUGUUGUUCCCCGCGCCGCCGCUGCCGUUGAUCGUGUCGAUGGAGGAUGUUCUCCGCAGCUGCUUGGAGCGGAGGCGCUUCACUAGUAUCUCCAGGUCGUCGAGGAGCGCCCAGGAGGAGUCGAACGCAAUCCCGUGGCUGGGCGACGUCGCCCACGCCG
rnacentral:sRNA from 1 species